rnacentral:rRNA from 1 species
GACAGAGGUCCCGAGCGUUAGGCGGAAUCACUGGGCUUAAAGCGUGUGUAGGCGGAUCGUUAAGUGCCUUGUGAAAUCCCACGGCUCAACCGUGGAACUGCUGGGCAUACUGCCGAUCUUGAGCCACUUAGGGGCAACCGGAACAAACGGUGGAGCGGUGAAAUGCGUAGAUAUCGUUUGGAACGCCAAUGGUGAAAACAGGUUGCUGGGAGUGAUGCUGACGCUGAGACACGAAAGCCAGGGGAGCGAACGGG